rnacentral:rRNA from 1 species
UACGUAGGGGGCUAGCGUUGUCCGGAUUUAUUGGGCGUAAAGAGCGUGUAGGCGGCUUGGCAAGUCUGCUGUGAAAACUCGAGGCUCAACCUCGAGCUGUCGGUGGAAACUGCUUGGCUAGAGUCCGGAAGAGGAGAGUGGAAUUCCUGGUGUAGCGGUGAAAUGCGUAGAUAUCUGGAGGAACACCGGUGGCGAAGGCGACAUCCUGGACCGGUAUUGACGCUGAGGCGCGAAAGCCAGGGGAGCAAACGGG